rnacentral:rRNA from 1 species
GGUUAAGUUAGAAAGGGCGCACGGUGGAUGCCUUGACACUAGGAGUCGAUGAAGGACGGGACUAACGCCGAUAUGCUUCGGGGAGCUGUAAGUAAGCUUUGAUCCGAAGAUUUCCGAAUGGGGAAACCCACCAUACGUAAUGGUAUGGUAUCCUUAUCUGAAUACAUAGGGUAAGGAAGACAGACCCAGGGAACUGAAACAUCUAAGUACCUGGAGGAAGAGAAAGCAAAUGCGAUUUCCUGAGUAGCGGCGAGCGAAACGGAACAUAGCCCAAACCAAGAGGCUUGCCUCUUGGGGUUGUAGGACAUUCUAUACGGAGUUACAAAGGAACGAGGUAGACGAAGCGACCUGGAAAGGUCCGUCGUAGAGGGUAACAACCCCGUAGUCGAAACUUCGUUCUCUCUUGAAUGUAUCCUGAGUACGG